GGAGAGGUGCUGGAGUGGUUGAUCGGGGCGGUCUCGAAAACCGUUGUGGCGCAAGUCACCGUGGGUUCGAAUCCCACCCUCUCCGCCA
rnacentral:tRNA from 1 species